CCCUUCGAUGUUCGGAGCUGCACGCGCGCUACACUGUGGGUGGCAGCAUGUUAGCUUGCCUCGCUCGCAAGAGUGGGGUAAUCGUUUGAAAAUCCCACGUGAUUGGGAUAGGGACUUGUAAUUAUUUCCCUUGAACGAGGAAUCCCUAGUAAGUGCAGGUCAUCAGCUUGCGCUGAUUACGUCCCUGCCCUUUGUACACACCGCCCGUCGCUGCUACCGAUUGAAUGGUCCGGUGAAGCGUUCGGACCGUGGCCUUUGGACGGUUCGCCGUCUGUUGGCUGCGGGAAGUUCGUUAAACCUUAUCAUUUAGAGGAAGGAGAAGUCGUAACA
rnacentral:rRNA from 1 species